CCUACGGGAGGCAGCAGUGAGGAAUAUUGGUCAAUGGGCGGGAGCCUGAACCAGCCAAGUCGCGUGAGGGAAGACGGUCCUAUGGAUUGUAAACCUCUUUAGGCGGGGAGCAAUGCCGGGCACGUGUGCCCGGAGGGAGAGUACCCGCAGAAUAAGCAUCGGCUAACUCCGUGCCAGCAGCCGCGGUAAUACGGAGGAUGCGAGCGUUAUCCGGAUGUAUUGGGUUAAAAGGGUGCGUAGGCGGAUUUUUAAGUCAGCGGUAAAAUAUCCGGGCUCAACCCGGGCCGGCCGUUGAAACUGGGGAUCUUGAGUGGGCGAGAAGUAUGCGGAAUGCGUGGUGUAGCGGUGAAAUGCAUAGAUAUCACGCAGAACUCCGAUUGCGAAGGCAGCAUACCGGCGCCCGACUGACGCUGAGGCACGAAAGCGUGGGGAUCGAACAGGAUUAGAUACCCUGGUAGUC
rnacentral:rRNA from 1 species